ensembl:lncRNA
AUCUUCCUCACUGAGGAACUUCAUCAGGUGGACGUUCACAUGAAGACUCUUAAAGGAAGUGGUUAUGACAUUAUCGUUUUUCUUCACCAGAGGAAGUUUGUUCACUAAAGGAGGUCUUAACAUCAUCUGUGUACCGUCUCCUUACACACACACACACACGUUUCACAUAACCGUUGCAGUCUCACUUGUUCAGUCUUUAAGAAUGUCAUUGUGUGGAUUUUUCUUCACAUCACUUCUUAUCUUUUCUGCUCAUUUUCUCCAAACCUGCGCAGGCGGAGCUUUGGAUCCGGAGAAUCCUGGCUAUCCACAGCUGGUGCAGGUGUCCUCAGAUGUGUCCUCAGGCGUGGUGUUACGGUGUCUAGCCCCCCAGGGUCACAGUGGCCGAGUGUUUGAGCUCUACCACGUGCGCACACUCAAACUCUUGGUACAGUUUGACACAGGGCGCUCGUACGCCGACUUUCAGCUCAACACCAGCACUUCAGAUUCCGAGGAUAUCUACUGCUGCCGCUACGACCACAGCGGGUUCAGCCUGUACACCAGGCUCACUCAUCCACCAUGCCCGAACACACCCCCAGCUCCUCCUCAACUCUCGGUCAUACCUCCAGAUGGGUAUGUCCGGCCUGGUCAGGUGGUGGAGUUCCGUUGUCAGGCCCCGCCCACCCUUGCUCCUGUAUCAUUUGUCCUCCAGAAACAACAAAACAUGAUCCACUCCCAGAAUCCUCAGUUCAAGGUGGGGCCAGUGGGCGUGGCUGAUGGGGGCAUGUACAGCUGCUUCUACAUAUUUAACCUAUCAGAGGGAGUUCAAAAGUCUGUCCCCAGCGCACCUGUCUAUGUUAAUGUAGGAGUUAAGCUCCCAGCUCCGCAGUUAUCUCAGCGGGCAGAGGGGGCGCUAGUGUGCAUCGGGUCACCCUCCUACCCUGGUGCUUAUUUCUCCCUGUUCCAACAGGGUUCCUCAUCACCGAUAGCAACACAACACGCCCCCAAGAUUGAACACACCGUGCAAUUCACUGCAUCAGGGCAGCACUCGGAAGGAAGCAUGUACCAAUGUCAGUACAGUGUGCUGCUGGGUAAAAACUGGAUACAUUCUGAACUCAGCUCCCCCAUCGUACUGCAAUGUGUUACAGGAUCUCCUUCCUGCAGCUCAUCUUCUACAGAUAACCAUCCUCCACAUACAGGUUCAAUGGACCUGCCGUUGGUGUGUGGGUCCGUCUCAGCUGCACUGCUCUUCCUGAUGGUGCUCAUAAUCCUGGCCUUUGGGAUUCGCAAAUAUGCUAAAACAGCAGCCAAUAAAAGGAGACAAAGGGAACAGGAGCAGUUCUGGCAGCAGGUCCACUUCAGAGACCACAUCGUCGAUCUCACACUACAGAGAGUCAGCACUGGCUCCAAGGAGGAGGGAUUAACUUCAGUGUUGGAGCCCAUCUACGAAUCUCCAGUCAGCACAUUCACCCGCCCACCUGGCUACUGACACACUCGUGCGCUCUCUCUCUCUCUCUCUCUCUCUCUCUCUCUCUCUCGGCGACAGUGCAUAGUGAGAGCGCUACACACACAGACAGGUACAGCACACCUAAAUGGGCGGAGCAUGCCGAUGACAUGGCUGGGUUUUGGUUUGCAUGUAGUUACUUCAGUUUCUUUCUGACACAAAGGCAAACCGGGUCACACACACAAACGCUGAUCUCUCAGCAGUUUCUCUUCCUUUUUCUUUUUUAUUCGUCAUCAUCCUUUCAUUUAAUUACAUUCUUCACUCUUGUCCUUCUACUUUAUCUCAUUUACUCAUGGUUCUCUCUUUCUCCUCCUUCAUCUCAUUAUUUUUAUUUUAUUCCAUUUCUGUAUUCUCUCUCUCUCUCUCAGUAGCAUUUGCACGAUUUGGAUUUUGCAUUAAAGGCUCUUAUGUUUAUAAAAUGUCCUUUGAAAAUAAAUUAAUGCUUUAUUAAUGAUAUUUUAUGUAUGAAUACACAGAGAGAGAGAGAUUGCAGAAGGAAGUACAGACAUACUGUUGCUGGAGAGUUGAGCAAUAAAAGCACAUUAUAUCCUGUUAACUACAUCAUUAUCAUCAGUGGAUCAGUGCAAGCAAUGCUGCUUGUGUAACUAUGUACACUUUUAUUGAUCGCUAAAUGUUUGAGGUGUUAUGAACAUUUAUAACUCUGUAGAUGUUCAGUACAGACUGUACUCCAACAGGCUCAGUGAGAAGUGCAAAAUAACUCACUGUUCAUCCCAUUUAUAGCUGAAUGCAAAUUACACUUCUGUCUGGCUGUGUCUUUGUCUUUCCAAUACAGCUUUUUGACUUCCUCUAACCAGAGUGUGUAUUAGACACUUUAUUAGGUCUUCACUGCUCUCCUUAGUUUUUCAUCAUCAUUUUUAAAAAAAAAUUUUUAUUAUUAUUAUUUUUUUAUUUAUUUUUUUUAUCACAUUUCUGGUUAAAGCAUGUGUAAGUCAAUAAUAAAGAAAUGGUGUGGUCCAUUAUAGGGGGGAUUGGGUAGCAAAAUUAUAUUUUGGUAUUGGCAAUGAAAGUUAUUUUGUGUGUGUGUUUUAAGAACAUAUCCAACCUUUGUCUUUAAUCUCCUAUUAGUGAUCGGUGGAGUACAGGGAGGGUUAAUGUGUUAAUUCAGGAGUUCAGACCCCCUCAAGAACACCCUUUAGUCAAAAGUUCAUGGGCUGUUCCACAUCUUUAUCCGCUCAGGUGACAGUAUUUAAUGAGAAGAAAGGUGUAGAGAUGCUCCUGAGGCUAAUCUUAAUCACAUUAAUGAGCAUUAACAUUGAACAUUUUAGCCAAGUGUCUUCACAACAUCAGGAUUUUUAGUUCAUCUGGUUUAGCUUAAUUAGUCAGUUGUUGUUAAUCAGGGUUAGGUAAUCUGGUUAAAUUGAUCCUCAUUAUUUGAACUUUGGUUUUAGGUGAUCCGGUUUAGUAUUAGUUUGUAUUAUAAUAACCACUGCAAUUUAAUCUGUUCUUUAAGUAGUUAAAUUACCUACAUUGUGUAAAAACUGGUGUUAAUACUGAACACUAAAUUGAUUUUUUUAAAACCAUUUUUGUCCUAAAA